rnacentral:tRNA from 1 species
GGGGAUUUAGCUCAGUGGUUCCAGCGCCUGCCUUGUAAGCACAAGGUCCUGAGUUUGAUCCCCAGUACUCCCC